CUCUCUCUCUCUCUGUCAUUCUCCCAGACUCACAAAGGGAAGAUGCACCUGGAGGGUUCCAAGGUAGCAACAGGACACCAUGAUCCGUGCCACACUUGUCCUUGACACAGCUGAGUACUGAGUUAGAAGUGGUUGCAGAAAACAGGUCUAACCAUGAGCAUGGGCUGCCCAUGCGCUAAGGCUGAGAUCUCUGGGACCGCUCUACAGGGCUUGUCAGACCAGGAACCCCCAGCCCACCCCAAACCACCGGGUGCAGGAGGAAGAGGUAGAGAUACUUGAGAGGCACUCAUCAUCUCUUUCACUCAGAGCUCUCUUUUUAAAGCAUCAGCAGAGACUCUUGGAAGUUGCUUUGCAACAGAAAAGCUUGGAGGCAAGUUAGAGGCCGUGGGAGAUCAGUGCCGUUCUUGCUCACUUGCGUUCCAUUCAUUUGUUCAUUUUAUACCUAUUAAUCAUCUCUGAGGCUCCAGCCACUGCGGUCCAAAUUCUGAGAGGCACAGAGUUGAAUACAAUCCGAUUCCUGCCCAUGGGGAGGUCGUGGUCUGCUGGAAAGCUUGCUAGACAAAUAAACAGAGCGGCUACACACCAGUGUAACAGGGGCCGGAUGGAGAGUCCAGAGGGGAGCACAGAGGCCAGCCGGGAGCUGUCAGGAAAGGCUGCUCAGGCAAGUGGAUCUCAAACAGAGAGUCCUCACAACAAAUUUAAACGAAUGUGGACAUUAUCCUGAACUUUCAGUACCGAUGGCAGGAAUGCGGCUCACUGGGCUGGAGCAGAAAACAAGGCAGUUUAGUGGCUCAGGCCCAGUGGCAAUCCAGCUUCACUUUAGGACUUCACGCCAGCUUCUUAAGUGUGGGCUCUGGCAGCUCCAAAUCCACACCGUCUUUCCUGUUAGCAGACCCUGGAGGGGAAAAGCUUCAUUUGUGUGAACCUUCCAUCCAGACCCGUGGAUUCACUUUGCAUCGGUUAACCUAGGGCGCGUGUCCUUCUGUGAACCAAUCGCUCUGACCGUGUGGAUGGAGCAACGGCUGACUGGCUAGACCCUUGUGGUUUUCUUGUGACUCAGCCCUGGGUCACGUGUUUUAUCCCAGAGCUGGAGGCAGGGUCUCACCUGACUCAUUGGAACAAACUGUGGAGCAGGGUUAGAUCUUGUGGGAAAUUCUAGUAAGAACCCAAAAGUAAGAGGUGACGGAGGCAUCGCCAUGGAAAACAACCAGUAUCCAUUAGUACUUUCAAAGAUUUUAUUAGACGUAUUGAACGAGGUAAGAACAAACAGGUGGACUUUAUUAUAAUAAUAGACUUUAUUUAAUUCAGUACAUCCAAAACAUUAUCAUUGCAUCAUGUAAUCAAUAUGUGAAUAUGAGCCAGAUAGCUUACAUUCUUUUUUUCACACUAUGUCUUCCAGAUCCAGUGUAUACUUUAUAUACUGACAACACCUCUUCUAUUGGCUGCUGUAACUUUAUCAGAAAUACUUGAUCUGUACUUAGAUUUCCUAGUAUUUACAGUUGAAAAAGUAGAUUCACCCACCCAAGUUUUUCCAAACAUACUUAAGUUUGCCAAUAACUGAAUUAAGUACUAGUAUUUACAUUUAAAUUAAUUGUAAAAUUAAAUGAAAUAAAAAAUCAAUUCCUCAGCAGCACUGCUUACAUUUGCAGUCUCAAUAGCUGCAUAGGACAGCACAGGGCUAGAAGGUCAAAGUGCUUAGAAAUAUCUAGAGGUAUCCUGUCUAGAAGAACCCUUGUGCACUGCUGGUGGGAAUGGAAAUUGGUGCAGUCGCUAUGGAAAACAGUAUGGAGGUUCCUCGAGAAAUUAAAAAUGGAACUACCAUAGGAUCCGCCAAAUCCACUUCUUAGGUAUUUAUCCAAAGAAAAUGAAAACAUUAACUCGAAAAGAUAUAUGCAUGUUCACUGCAGCCUUAUUUACAAUAGCUGAAAUA